CUCAUGUAUUGUCAUUUUGCCAAACAUAUCCCUUAUUCAAACUCUCCUCUACUCUUCGCAAACCACUGUCGAUCGGUAGUAAAUUCAGCCAUCGUUGAUCGACUAAAAGUGCGCGCAGGCCAUUCUCCUCUGCUUUCCCACUGUCGACCAGUAGCAAAUUCAGCCAUCGCUGAUCGACUAGAAGCGCGCCCAGAGAUUGUCAAAAAAAGUUUUCUCUUUAGAUUGGACCACUUGAAGAUUGUCAAAAAAAAAAAAAACAAGUAGGAAUUUUAAUAUAGUUUUGAAUUGCAUUAUUUCUUGUCCCUUUUAUGUGCAUGUUUAAGGAAUAUGAAUAUUUCAAUAAUGUUUAGGGCACAUUAUAUAUAUAGUUAUAAUGAUUGAAUUAUAUCAUGCUUGUUUAGAUUGAAUUAUUAUGAAUGUUUCACAUGCCCCGUGUCUAGAUUUUUGUGUUACCUAAUUUCAUAAAGUAAUUUUGUUUGGUGUUCAAAUUCUUUAGGAACAUAUGAUUAACAUAGAUAAAAGUUGGAUGAUGGAGUCUAAGUAUUCAAACAAGUAUGUUGUCGGAGUUUCAACUUUUAUGAAAUUUGUAGUGCAAAUUUGGGAGCUGAAUGUAAAAUUCAUUGUCAUUGUCGAGUUUGCUUAAAUGUAUUUACUAGAAAUCAAGAUAAGGUAGAAGAUCAUUUGCUUUUGAAAGGUAUAUUAGAGAGCUACACCAAGUGGAUUUAUCAUGGUGAGCAAUCUGAUUUCAUAAUGCCAACUUUUGGUAAACAAUCUACUGGGAGUACUAGUUUUUGCGAAAGAACAAUUAUUAAUGAUGAACCUUUGGAUAUGGUAUGAAUGAUCUGUUAGAAGAUGUAUUUCUAGAAUGGAUGCAGAUGAUCAUAGUUUUAAUUCUAAUAUGGGUGAGGAAGACACUGAAAAUUUUAGCAAACUUUUAAAUAAGGCAUAAUGUGGACUAUUACCAGAAUACACCAACAUGUCUAGGUUGGAGUUUAUUGUAAAAUUAUUGCACAUAAAGGUUUAUUGCUAAAUGAGCAACAAGGCAAUAAAUAUGAUAUUGGGACUAUUGAAUGAGGCUUUUCCUACUAGUACAAUUUCUUUAUCGUACUAUGAGGCAACAAGAACUUUGAGAGACUUACGACUUAAUUAUGUGUCAAUUCAUGCAUGCAAAUAUGAUUGUGCUCUAUUUUGGGGGAAAUUUGAAGAUAAACAAAGUUGUCCUACUAUUGGGACAUCAGGGUGAAAGGUGGUUGACAAGCAAAUUCUUUGAAAAGUCUUGCAUUAUUUUCUCAUGAAACCAAGACUCCAAAGAUUGUUUAUAUCUAAAAAAAUAGCAGAGGAUAUGUGAUGGCAUAAGGAGAAAUAUGUUGAUGAUGAUACAUUGAAACAUCCAGCAAAUGGGGAUGCUUGGAAAGCAUUUAACAAAGAGAAUGACUAGUUCACACAUGAUGCAUGAAAUGUUAGACUUGGCUUAGCAAUUGAUGGAUUUAACCCUUUUGGGCUCAUGAGCUCUACCUAUAGCAUGUGGCCUAUUGUGGUUAUGCUAUAUAAUCUUCCACCUUGGAAGUGAUAGGUUACAUGGUUGCAUGACCAAAGUUCUAAAUAAAUUUUUGAUGAAUUACUAUCAUUAGCUUAUGGUCCUGAUAGAUGUGUUUGAAAGUAUACAGGUUGCAUUGUUAAUGGGGUGAGGUAUCACAUAAAAAGCAUGAUUUCCAUUUGAAAAGUUAGAAUAGUGGUGUGAUGGUUGAAGGCAAUCAUGAAAAUGAAC